CUCUCUUAACUUUCUCCCCUCCUCAGAUGCCAUGGCUAGCCUCAAAGCCUUGGCAACACCAACCCUGGUAAAUGACCCAUUUUCACUUCUCUCUACUUCCACACCCAAACCCUUCUCAACCAAAAGCCUUGCAUUCAAAGGCUGAUCAAUGAUAAAUGGUAGCAGAACAAGGCUGUGACCAAAUUACAGUGUUUCAAUGAUAGAACCCCACCCAGAGCGAAACAAUGAUCCCCCAAUUGAUGGGUGUCCCAAAAUUACUAUCUGCGGUGCCCAUCCCAACCUAACGAUGCCUUGCCCACUUGUCCGUUCGCCAAAUCCUGAAGGCAAGGCUUCAAGAUCAUGAAUUGCCCAACUGGGUUCUCUCA
rnacentral:misc_RNA from 1 species